AGAGAGCUCCUCACACCAGGUGCACCUGGAGCCCAGCGUGCCCAGACCUGCAGGUCUGCACAGGAGGGUGCACGCAAACUCCCCUCCUGUCUUUUCUCUGACAACAGGUGUCAGGGCUGCCCCUACCUCCGCAGCAGAAAGCCCCAGCCAUGAAGCCUCUCCUCCUUGUGUUUGCCUUUCUCGGCUUUUGGGACACAGCAAGCACUGGCAAGGACAUGAGGAAGCAAAUUUGGAACUGCUUAUUUCAAGAGAAUCACUUUGUUUUCUGGGAUCAAAGAAACGUCUGAUCAGAUGAGGUGGUAGCUAACCAGACUUGAGGGUGGCAUGACCAGGCUUGUCCAUAGCCUUUCCUGAUUCUGAAAUCUCACCUUGGAUAUUCUCUUCACUGCAUGUUACUGAAUCUGUCCAAAUCCUUAUGUUGUAGACACCCAUCUAAUUUUCUAGCAUCCUGAAGUAUUUUCUAGGCAGAUGAACCAGAUUUUCAGAUCUCGUGACUCUACAGUCUGAAUUUAAGAAUCAAUGGGAUCCAGGCCUCUUGAAGUUGCUACUGGGACCUGUUCCACUUCAGUUUAUGACAAUGGAUCCAUGGCCUCCAUGUCAGCAGCUCCACGUAGUCUUCAGAGUUCCCUGUGGUGCCCUAUACUCGUCAUUGCCAUGGGAAUUUCUCGUCUCACUAUGUAGACCUCUGCACCUUACCUUCCCGAAAGGCUACAGAUGAACCCACUUGGGCUUCUAUCUUGCAGCCAGGUCUGAAUCCAUUAUCUUCAGUAGUACACAAGAAAUGCUAUCGAAAUGGUACCUGCAGGUUCGAGUGCUACGGAAGUGAGAUGCUAGUUGCCUACUGCACAUUCCGGCUGGAGUGCUGUGUCACAGGAGACCCAGGGCCCUGAUAUGAGGAAACAAUGAGUGACAAUUAACUUAAAGACCCUGAUACUCUCCUCUUACACAAAGCCAGGAAUAGAAGCUGAACUCUGACUCUGCCAUAUGCUUAUGACUGUCAGGCUUCAAUCUUUUCUAAGCCAUCAGAAUCUUGGGAUCUCGGAUUUGAAGACAUAAUCUGAAGCCUCCUUAGAAAGAGUUAGGUGUCCCAUGCAAAUAAUUUGAAUGUAUUUUCUCAGUUCCAAGUGGUAUCCAGUAUUCUCAUAGUGCCCAUUUCUCUCUGUGGUCAUAGAGAGAAUGUCUUUAUUACUUAGAGAGGCUUCCAUAGAAACCCUUCUUUACACCUAGGUCCUGUCCCAUCUUAGAGCAACAGACCUCCCUGGCCCUCUGACAACCUUGGGCAUCCCUCACGUGGCCCACACAGCAAGGCUUUAGCUCCAGGGGGCUCAGAGUCAUGACUGUGUCUGACCCUGAAGUUCUUCUUGAAACAGACGGAGAGAGGCCACCUUAGAACAGGCUGACACAAGGCUCUUUCUCAUCCACCUCCUAGUUUCAGUGAAGCAUGGGACUUUCCACCUCAGCUCCUCGGCAUUCAGCGACAAGCUAUAAGAUGACUUGGUAACAGUUCAGUGUUGAUGUCAGGGCAGCUGAGUGACCCACUGCCUCUGCUGCCCAUCAUCUGGCCCCCUGACUGAUGGUGUUCUUUAGGCCUAAGAGCUGAUACCAUGCUGUUCUUGCUUUGCUGUGUCUGUAACUAAUAAAUGUCCAA